AAGCGUUGUCCGGAAUCAUUGGGCGUAAAGAGCGUGUAGGCGGCUCGAUAAGUCUGCUGUGAAAGUCCAGGGCUCAACCCUGGAAGGCCGGUGGAAACUGUCGGGCUAGAGUCCGGAAGAGGCGAGUGGAAUUCCCGGUGUAGCGGUGAAAUGCGCAGAUAUCGGGAGGAACACCUGUGGCGAAGGCGGCUCGCUGGGACGUAACUGACGCUGAGACGCGAAAGCGUGGGGAGCAAACAGG
rnacentral:rRNA from 1 species